rnacentral:rRNA from 1 species
UGGCGGACGGGUGAGUAAUGCGUAGGAAUCUACCUAGUUGAGUGGGAUAGCCUAGGGAAACUUAGGGUAAUACCGCAUAAGUCUUACGGGAGAAAGCAGGGGACUGUUAAAGGCCUUGCGCGAUUAGAUGAGCCUACGUCGGAUUAGCUUGUUGGUGGGGUAAAGGCCUACCAAGGCGAUGAUCCGUAGCUGGUCUGAGAGGACGACCAGCCACACUGGGACUGAGACACGGCCCAG